CGCUGCUGGGGAUGCACCUAGUUGAGUUGGCAGUGGAGCACUCUUUGAGCAUCACCUUGGAAGCAUUCUUGAAGACUCUGAAUUUGUUGAAUGUUCCUUAGCGGUGUCUGUUGUUUGCUGUUGCCUACUCAGGUUGUUUCUUUAAAGAGCUUCAAAUGACCGUGUCCAUCCUAAUGUUCUCCAAGCUGCAUUUUAAUUCUCUUUGUUUAUCUCAGCACUUUCAAGUCCCUGGGAGAUUGUGUUACUGUUGCUUGGUACUGGAUGAUGUUCUGUUUAUACGCUUGUAACAUCUGUGUACUUUCGAUUGUGUAGGUGCUCAAUUUCCACAGAAAUGACUGUAGACAGGAAAAUAUUAGUGCUUUCAAGAAAUAUUCUUCUAUUGCCCUGGAAGCCUUGCUGCUGGUGACUCUCAUCUCAUGCAGACCAAUGUGAAAGUCAUCUCAAGACCCAAUAAAACUCAUCAGUUAUCCUCGGUGAGUGAAGCCCUGUCUCCCAUGCACAUGUUCUGGUUUAAAACACAGGACCGUAUCAAAAGUCAGCAGCUCCUCUCUGGUUCUGGGACACGGGAAUUCCAAGAUAUUCCUCAGAUUUAUGUCACUUCCAGUGAGAACAUUUCAUAGGGAUUAGCUCAGCAGCCAGUUUCAUUGCAGGGGGAGCAGCCAGAGACAAGGCUGCUCCAAGGUACUGACAGCAGGUACCACAGGCUGGUGCUUCUCUGCAGGGGGUGAUGCUCCUCACCCACCCCUUACGUUGCCCUGCCGCGGUUUUGCUCACCGACAGCUGAUUUUAUUGCAUUGACUAUCAACAUCUAGCAACGUCACUGCCAGCUGGGUGGGAGGACAGAUGGGGCAGAACCCCACAGCUGCUCCCCCAGGCCUGGCUCUCACCUCUCCAAUGCCCUGACUGCUCUCCAACCCAGUGACUUUGUGUGGCAUUUCCCAAAAUGUGCUGGAGGGUGUCCCUAAGCCCCCUCCUGAAGGUGGUGUGUCCCUCAGCCCAGCCUCACCCUCCCCUUGGACCUGUGCUCCUGCACAAAGCCAGCCUGGGGACAUCAGUGCCACCUGCAGGCAUGUCCUAGCAGAGAAAGGUGUCCUAGCAGAGGACGUGUGUUUUGGAGAAGGUGCUGCUGAGGUGUGUGCCUCCAGAGGACAGCAGGUUGGGAAUCCUCAGUAGAGAAAGCCCUUCUGGUUCCAUUGAGUGAGCAGGAAGGGUUUCCAAUCCACACCCUGUCCUCGCCUUUCCCUGGACCAGUUUGCUGGGAUAAACCUUCAAGAUGGUGGGACUGGUCAUUGCUGUGUCCUGCAGGAGAGCCCGGCCAGAGAGGGGCAGCACCCAUCACUGAGAUCCCCACUGCUGUG
rnacentral:lncRNA from 1 species